rnacentral:tRNA from 1 species
CGGUGUGAAUAGUGCAGGUUGGUAGCGCAUCCAUCUUUUGAUGAAAAGCGGACCAGAGGGUCGGGGGCUUGACGGCAAGUCCCAUCGAAUCCCUCUUCACCGACCA